rnacentral:lncRNA from 1 species
GUUGUAUUUGUCCAAUGCUACUGUUUAGCACUGGCCUUGUGCAGAGUAGCUGUCUUUAUACAAAUAAAUAAGUGCCUUCCAGAAGCUAGAGGUGAGGCACAAUUGCUCUAGAGAAGCCCAUUUGUCCUCUUUCAUAGUCUAAGAAUAGAUCCACCAAGCAAGCUGGGUCAGUUACUAUGGUGCUGAGUCACCAAGCAAAGUUUCCAAGGAUAUCAAACUUGCAUUAUUCUUUCCCUGAGCAAAACACUGCCAGUCCCUUCUAAUGCUGGGACAACCUCUGACUGUUCCCUUGCAGCACGGGUCUUUUCUUCCCUGGUUCCUUUUCUCAGGGGAACUUUCUGUAUGGCUGGCUGUGGCCAUUGCUGCUGUUCUACCUAGGGAGUGAGCACAAUUUACUCACAUUAUGAUUUAGACUGAGGAACAUCGCCCACAUUCUCAUGCAUUCAGAGACAGGGCUUAUAGAAAGUGAUUGGAUUUUGGGGGAGCUACAGUUGAUUUACUGUGAGAAGGUAGAGGCCACUGGGGUCAUGGCAUGGAUGGUUGUAUUGCCCUCACUGGCUCCUCCCUCCUCUCUCCACUUCCUGACUACCAUGAUGUGAGCAGGUUUCCUACCCCCAGGCCCUUCCGCUAUGCCACUGACCAUGCAAAGAUUGUGAGUCAAAAUAAACCUCUCCUAUUUUUAAGUUGUAUUUGUAUAUUUUGCCCAGGUGAUGAGGAAAGUGACUGAGACAUCUAGGAAGCCAUAGGGACAGCUGGAUUAAUGGAGGUGGAGGAAGGAAACUAAUGCCAAAUGACACAAUCUAUAUCCCAGAAAUGGAAGACAUUGCUGGCUCAGAGAUUCGGAACAUCAAGGCAGCCAGGACAGCACAACCAAUGACACUACUGAAAGAGGACUCCAGAGCUGCUUCAGAAAGUGGCAUGAACAAUCAGCUAUAGUGCUGAGGCAGACCCCAAAGAACAGUCCAUGUUAUGGAACAUUUUUCAGAAAUCCAUUUUAAAAAUAGGAGAAUGCUGUAAAUGAAGCUUUGCAGUGGGAGCACCAGGUCCAGAAGAGAUAAGCAGUAUUGACUUUGAUGGGACAGGAGAGGCGCUAGAGACGGGUGCAGAGGAGACCUCUGAGCAGUGAAGGAAAGGUCUACGCUGUUGGGAUUCUGCUGGAGGCUGCUUCUCGAGGUCUGAUUGCUCAGUUUGUGGGCUGCAGACUUACUGAGUUGGAACACUGGGUGGCAACUAAUAGCCACUUAGAU